rnacentral:lncRNA from 1 species
CGCAAUGGGAACCCGAGGGUGAGAAUGUUGAGCAUAGAAAGUGAAACUGCAAACCCAAUCGUGUUAAAGAACACAAACAAAGUGAAAGCAACUCCAUUAAAGGUCCCCAUGAUAGAUUGCCCUGCUAUAUGAGCUUGUUGAUAUGUUGUGUUCACGUUCGUUGUGUUCUGGGAAACAGCAGGUAUGUGGCUAUCUUGCCAUGUUCCACCUGGUGGAGUCAGGCUGGCUUGAAACGUGGCUGUGGCUACUAGUGAAGCCACCACCAGUAACGCGCUACGUGCUUCUGAUGGUGAGUCUCUGUGCUUUUUGAAAGUGAAGUACUUAACGAGAUCUUUGUGGCUUUGUGACUCCGCUUGGCAUGUGGAAGUUGAAGUGGUUCUCUCGACAUUUGUUGUACCGACCUCUCUCCCUCUUUGAGCCCCUGAUUCGAUGAGUUUCUCGUAGAUUUCUCUAUCGCCAGCUUCGCUAGGAAACAUAACCAGCAAAUCCAGUGCAGAGAGACCCAUCUUGUUCAUAGCAUUCACCUCAAAUGUUCUUGACUCUUCUGGUAUUGCCUGAACCAACACUUCAAUCACCUGUAAGGUAAAGAUAAACAGAUUAUGAUUCUACACUAAGAGAACUAUUUAACCACAAAACAACAUAAUUCUUCUUACCUGGCGAUUUUUUCUCCAGGUCGCUAGAUGAAGAGCUGUGUUACCCUUUUCAUCUUUCUUGUACAACACGUCAAUUCGAUUCUUCUCCGUGAUCAACUCAACAAUGGCUAUAACUGCACCGAUCUCUUGGUGCAGAACACCAAGAUGCAAAGCAGUUUGACCUUGAACCGUCUCGUCUUCUAAGCAAUCAACGCAGCUCGACACAAUCUCUCUGAUCACAUCGGUUUUCCCUCUCAUCGUCGCUACAUGAAGUGGAGUCUUUCCAUCUCUACCU